rnacentral:lncRNA from 1 species
CGGGGUUUCACCAUGUUGGCCAGGCUGGUCUCGAACUCCUGACCUCGUGAUCUGCCUGCCUUGGGCUCCUGAGUGUUUUCAGAUAAGUAGAUAUUAAGUGACUGACUGAGUAAAGGGAUACACUGGAUCUAUGGAAGUCUUGAUCCAAAAAGCUCUCCAUUGUCCAGUCAGACUCCCUUUUCCAUCUCCAGGGCAGACCAGGGCAUGGUAUAAACUGACUCCACUCCUUGUGUGUAAUACAGUGUCUUCCUAGAGAGGGCGUCUGUCAUUCCACCCCCAGGGACUGCUUGGCAUCUGUGUGGCAGGGGCCAUGCUGUUCCCCGCUGGGAGCACCAUCCUACAGUAAUCUCUGUGCAGGAUGCUAUUAUAAGAAAGACUUGGGACUUUGUCCCCACUCUGCAACCUCACACCCCAAACUGGGAAGGUGCUGAGAAACCGAAGAUUGGCUCGGACAAGUCCAGCUUGGCCAGUAGAUGACUCUAUUGAGGGCCCUCCUGGGUGGCGGCAGGACAGCUCUAGAGGUUCGCACUGCUGCCAUCACUAAGCAAAGUCUCUGGUUCCUGGCCUGCUGUGUGUGAUGGGACUGCCUUCCUGGGUAGGUUCCCAGAUACUCCCAGGGACACACGCUCCUCGCUGGGCCCCCCUGGCCUUGGCUCCUUGCCUGGCCUUCAGGGUUCAGGCAGUGGACAUCCACCCCACGUGACAUGGUGGGACACCUGUCACACCACCGAUGCCCCUGCAGAUGGGCCACGCAACAGCCCUCGGGCCUUCCUGUCUCAGAGCAGGGCUGAUCACAGUCAGGCCCACUGCAGUGGAGAAAGACUGUGCAGAGCUAGACGCUGGACUCGGAUCCUCUCUAGCGUGGGACAGGCACUGGGCACCCAGGUCAGCUGCAGUUCCUGAGAGAGGGCAGCCCCAGAGUCAGAAUCAAGGUGUCAAUAAUAGGAGAAACGAUGGUGGGGAGGAGACCAAGGCAUUAAUAUAGGAACUCUGUAUACUUUCCAGUCAAUUUUUCCAUAAAACUAAAACUGCUCUAAAAAAGGAGUCUGUUAAUUUUUUAAAAUCUCAAAAAGAAUGUGGCUGGUGCCACAAUGAACAAUUUGAGUGAGAAGCUACUCAACGAGGUCAGAGGCAUCAGAGAGGAAGAACACAGCAGCCUGUUUUCUUUGCUGCUCUUUACCGUUAGAAAGAACACUUUUACAACAGACUCUGUUUGAGGACAAACGCUCCACAUUUUUGCCCGCUGGCAGCAGUCAUAAAUUAUGAGAUUUCUGAGGGGCACAAAACUGCAGCGGUCUAAACCAGGCAACAAAAAUCAGCCAAGUCCUUAUCAGGAUCCCCUACAAAUUCUAUUGACUUUUUUGGAUCUGUUUGUCCCUAGGUGUGAACUAGGGAAAAGUCAGGCGAGUCUGCCUUGCUAGUAUAUUUAAAAGAGGAUCUUGGAGAAUUUGAAAGAAAAUGUGGAAGAAGAAAUGACAGUGCUUGGUGAAAGUCAGCAGAAGGGCUUGAUAAUGGAACAGACUAAGGGUGGUGGAUAGUUUUAAGGUUGAGAGAGAAAUGGAAUUAAAAAAAAGGGAGAUAUUCCUGGGGGCUUGAAGCAAGAAGCAGCAGCCGAGAGCAGCGCUGAUCAGGAUGUGAAGGGAGCUUGGUGCGGAGGGCAGUGCUUCCUAUGAGAAAAAGUCCAGUGGUCAAUCUUUUGGGAAGGAGCUGGUGGGAUGAGGGGGCAGCUGGACUGACCUGAGUGCUGUUGUACUGUCUGACCAUCUCCUUUGUAAACAGACGCUCCACACUCAUGCUCAGAGCAGCAUUAUUCACAGCAGCCAGGAGGGGGACGUCGCCCAGGUGUUCCUCGGUGGAUGAAUGGAUAAAGAAAAUGUAAACACACAGUGGAAUCUUACUCAGCCUUGAAAAGGAAGGAAAGUCCAUCCAACACAUGCUACUGCAUGGACGAACUUUGGACAGUGAGCUAAGUGAAAGGAGACAGUCACAAAAGGACAAAUACCAGAUGAUCCCACCUGCGCGAGAUGAUAUCACGCCACCCCCUUCCCAGUGGCUAAAAGGCAAUUUAAUAUGCAGAAGCUCUGCUAGAACAGCAUUAGGUUAUGACAUGAGGAAAUGGAAAAAAAACAUCUAAGCCCAAACUCUGCCCUUCAGCCGUCCUCCUGAGACAGCGUGCUGCUGUCAGCCAAGGACAGAGUGGGCACGCUGGGGUUCUUGGGCUCAGCAAACAACAGGAAAACUGAGGCAACUUCAGCUGCUUACAAGAGAGAGACACAAGAUUCACAUGAGUUCCUAAGUUCAAGUUGGCUGAGGGGCUCAAGGGACUCACCGCGUCCCUCCCUCACUCCGGCAGAUGCUGGGACGCUUCCAGACAGCCCCGGACAUAGGGGGAGAGGGAGAGGCAUGGAAACCCUCUUACCUUAGCCCCUCAGAAAGGUGCCUCCACUCAUUGGUGACUCCCUCACUUAGCCAUUAAAUGUCACUACAGCCCGUUCGCACAGGGGAGAGAAUCUACAUCUAGCAGUAAAAAAAGGUGAUGAAAUGAAAGAAGUUGUGAAAUGACAUUUUUUUCCAGCAGGUUUGUCAUAUCUCCUGCAUGGAGGAAAAUUGCUUUCUGUAAAUCUUGGUCCAACAGAACAAAACACCUAUUUCUUUCCAGUUGGGAGGACAGCCAUUCUCAUCGGUAUAAUGAACGUAUUGUAAGCUGUGACUUUUACAAAGUCUGAGGGAAACCAAUCUGCAAUCUUGACAGAUACGAUCUUUCCAGAUGCACUGUUCGUUUACGGCGGCAAGAGAGCUCAAUUAAUUUCUGAGGGAGGACGGCAGGAUGCGACCCCUUGUGCGUGGCCUAGGAGGAACUGUCCCUGUGUGAAUUUAUGUUCUGGUAAUUUAAAAAGAUUUAUAUUAAGCUUUUCUUUCAUUUUGAGAGUAGAUUAAAAUUCUAAUGGAAACCAUUUGUAUGCAUUUGUUGAAUUGAAGAGUAUUUAUGGCUGUGUAAAAAAAAUGCUGCAAAAUUCUGCCGAUAAUAAAGUCAGUGAAGCAAGAAUAAGUGUAAAAACAGGAAGGAAAUACGCGAUAGAAACCAUACUGUAUUAUACAAGUAUAAUGAGGGAGGCAAGCCGAGCAGAACGGGGCAGGGAUUAGGCCCCCGGAUGGGAUAGUUUUUCUUAUUUAGUGUAAGGCUUUUGUAGCCCUUUUAUGACUUAAAACAAAAUUUAAAUUUUGAAACAGGCCAGGUCAGUCUGCACAGACCCCAUGGCCACAUCACUGUGUCACAUCAUUCUUGAACUCCUGCCGGUGUCUAGGACAAACAGGCAGGAAAGAAAAUCCAAGCGGCGUCUCAGAGAAAAGAUGCUGAUGGCAGGAAAAGAAGACCCAUGAAACAGGAGGCGGGGGUCAGCGAGCAAGGUGAAAAUCAGAGCCCCGGAGUGCAGUGCAGGUGGAAGAGAGGUAGCAAAACCAGGGAAGUCGCCGUGCUCGGGACAGUCCAGUGUGUCCCUGGCAUCCCCAGUCAUUGCCGUGGCCACCUGAUCAGAACCUGUACAGAAGCUGCCCCAUCUCCUCCACGGUGAGGGCCAAGUUGCAUGUGCCACAGCCCUGUCGGUGACCUUUCUGCGGGCUGGGGAAGCAGAGACAACGGCCUGACAAUCUGCAGGCACAGCCAUCCAAGGGGACAGGGUCCAUGCAACAGCCACCAGAGAAAGCUCCUCACUGCCACCUUUGCAGAGGGAGAAAAGCAGAAAGCAUCGUGGAGGCCCUUUAUCAUGUUGGAAGGCCAGAGACAUUUGGCAUUCCGUCAAGGUCCAUCUUAGAGUUGAGAGAGAGUUUCACCAGGAAACUCACAUUCUCUCAGAACUAGCAGCCGUGAUCGCAUGUCGAAGUCAGGCAACGCCAAGCGUGAUGGUUAACAGCGCUAAGACAGGAGAAAAUGGAAAUUCCCUGAGAGUCCACUGCUCUGCUCCUGCGGCGGUGCUUUUCCCCCUCGUUGUAAGCAUGCUCUUUACCAGAGCUGCACGGAUGUCAUAAACUGCCUCACGAUGCACUAGAGCAGAAUCGUGCGUUAGCAAAUUUCACAGAUGCAAAGUGGGAUUUCUGUCAAUGGAAGCCUGCAUGGAAAAUACGGAACAGCUUAAGAAAGUACUGUCUUCUCUCAAAAUUCCACAGGAGCCUGAAAUGCAGGGGUUCCGGCCUAGGCGUUUUUUGAGGCAAAUAACGUCGCCACACGGCCGAGAUACAGGCCCCUUUUUGCCCCAUGAGACUUACUGGCCUCAGAGUCCGGCCGCUUCUGUUUUGUUUCUUCAUGUAUCCUUGGCUUCUAGCGCAGUUCCUGGUACACAGCAGGCGCUCAAUACAUAUUUGCUGAGCUAAGCAAAUAUGUCCUAGGCCCUGUGGAAGAUACGACAUGAGGAAGACCAGGUCCCUGCCAAAAAGGCACCGAGGGCCCAGGCUGGGGAGGGUAGUGCUGACAUCGAGUAGGCCUUCAGCUCUGACCCCAGCUUCAUUUUAAGUGACUAGGAACAAAUUCUCAAAACUUCUUUUCUAUCAACUCUUCUUCACCCCCAAUAUCACAGCACAACUGUCUGUCAUUGAUGGAGUUCCUGCAAUAAGACAAGCGCUAGAAGUUUACCAUAUUUGUAUCCUUACUGGAUUCCCAAAUUAAUCCUAGUAAGCAAGUGACAUGAUUGUUUUUAGUAGAGACAGGGUUUCACUUUGUUGGCCAGGCUAGUCUUGAACUCCUGACCUCAAGUGAUCCACCCACCUCAGCCUCCCAAAGUGCUGGGAUUAGGAAAAUGAAUACUUUUGCAAGCACAAUGACAGGAGUGUCAAAGGAGGUAGGCUCCACACUCUGAUGUCUCUUUAUCAGUGAGGCCUUUUCUGACUCCCUCACAUGAAGAGCAAACUCACUUCCCUUGUGCCAAAGCACUCAACAUAUAUGACAUCCCACACGGGGUAGGCUGAAUCGUGGCCCUUAAAGUAUGUCCAUGUUCCAAUCCUUAGAACAUGUGAAUGUAUUACCUUAUGUGGCAAAAUGGACUUUGCAGACAUGAUUAAGUUAAGGAUCUUGAGAUUUCAGGAAAAUUAUCUUGGAUCAUUCAGGUAGGCCUGACAUAAUCACAAGAGCCCUUACAAGAGAGAGGCAGGAGGCCAGAGGCAGAGAGCUACACUGCGGAGCUGCUUUGCAGAUGGAGGAAGGGGCCACCGAGACCUGAGAAAGUCAAGGAGACAGAUUCUCCCCUGGAGCCUCCAGAGGGAACCAGCCCUGCUCACACCGUCAUUUCAGCCCUGCAAGACUUGUUUGGGCUUCUGACGUCAAGAACUGGGACAGAAUGAAUUUGUGAUGUUUUAGGCCACUAGAUCUGUGGUAAUGUGUUAUAGCAGAAAUAGGAAACUAACACAACUCAUCUCUACUUGUGUAUAUGUUUGUUAUCCGUCUUCCUCUGCUGGGACAUGAAAUCCGCAACAAGUGGAGGCAAAGCCAGGGACUUUGUCUAUUAUGUUGACUGGCAUCCUUAGUGCUCAGAACAGAGCUCAGAAUAAUAAAUAUUUGUUGAAUGAGCAAAGACGGAGGGGGCAGUCGCAGGAAGGGGGCCUACCGCGUGGCUAAGGGCCCUGAGGUAUGAAAGAUCUGAGAUGCUGGUGGACGUGGCUGCUUCCCGAGCUGAACUGGGGAAGUGGUGGGGAGGUGGGAGAUGUCGGGGAGCUGAUGCUGGGGCAGUUUAUACUUUAUUCUGCAAAUGAAGAAUUAUUGAUGGGUUUCAUGUAGAGUCAUGAUCAUAUUUCUUGAUUGCGUUUUUUUUUUGUUUUGUUUUGUUUUGUUUUUUUGAGACAGAGUCUCACUCUGUCGCCGAGGCUGGAGUGCAGUGGUGCGAUCUUGGCUCACUGCAACCUCCGCCUCCUGGAUUCAAGCUUCCCGAGUAGCUGGGAUUACAGGUGCAUGCCACCAUGCCCGGCUAAUUUUUGUAUUUUUAGUAGAGACGGAGUUUCACCAUGUUAGUCAGGCUGGUCUCAAACUCCUGACCUCGUGAUCCACCCACCUCAACCUCCCAAAGUGCUGGGAUUACAAGCGUGAGCCACUGCGCCUGGCCUCCUGAUUGCUUUUUAAGUAAUUUUUUAAAAAUAAUUUUUCUCUUUAUUAUUAAAUGUUAGAAAUAUAUGGAAACGUGGGCAAAAAGUAAAAAUCACUCAAAUCUCAUUCCUAGAGUUAGUCACUAUUAAUAUUUUGGUGUAUGUGUAUUUCUUCCUUCAACAUUCAGAUUAUAUACUUUUUUGAAACUGGCUUUUUUCUCUUAAUGUGAAUUUCUCCAUGUCAUUAAAUAUUCUCCUAAAAA